CAAGGCAUAACUGAAAACCAUUAGCUCCAGUUUCUUUUACAAAAUAAAAAAAUUCCCUUUCCUCCAAAAAAAUACUCAAAAGCCCCAAAGCAUAGCAGAAGUUUGAGAGACAGAGAUACAUAUACUAGGAAGCAUCAGAACAUUGAAAACCAGCUGUGAUAACAUUCUAAUGGGAAAAAUCCAAAUCACUUGAAAGAUGCAUAACUGGUACAAAACUGCCACUGUUUGGGGAAAAAAAAAAGAGUCCCUAAAGUUCAUUCAAAGUUUAGUUCUUUUUAUCUUGCAAAUCAAUACUGCUUUAUGUUACUGGAUUCUUUAUUCAGAAGUAGUCUUUCAAGGCCAGACUCUGUAGCCUGUAUUCACACAAGUGAACAUGAAGGGAUGAAUAUGCAGAUGGAUUAUCCAGGCUUACAUGGAUACCAGUGUCAGAGCAGCGUAGAACUGAGAAAAUCUUGAAGUCUUCUUUGCUAUUCAGCACUAUUUCAUGACAGACUCUCAUUUCAAAUGGUGUGUUAAGGACAACUGAUCUAGCACAUAGGGGUAACCUAAAUACUAAGUCAUCUAAAAAUAUUAUUUCCACUUUUAUUGGUGAUUAUAAAAGAUCAGAAUAUGCACUAUCUCUCAGUCAACCAUACAUUCAUUAGAAUUCAGCGUGAAAAAUAACAUCUGUAUUCUCUGAAAGAAAAAUGAAAAUUAUGCAAGGAAAUCACUAAGAAAAAAAGAAACUUCUGACAAAUUUCUCAUUGGUCUUUGGAGGUAUUUAUGUGAGAGAAAAUGACAGGCAUUCAUUUAUACCACUUUCAUGAAACUUUGGGUUUUAUGGAUUCUGUAGUAUGUAACACCCCCAUUCCAGAAUCCUUCUGUAACAGAUUCUUAUUACAAAAGGAAUGAUGUUCUUUUUUCUCUGAAGUUAUCAAAUGAUUGCUAAGUACAAUAUAGACAGGAUUUCAGAAUACAUGAUUGGACUUUCUCAUAGGAAAGAAAAGGUUUUUUUCAGGAGUAAAAAUAUUUUUAUAAUGUGGAAAACCUUUCCUUUUCCUUUGUUUCUAGGAUAACAUCGAACCUCCAUCCCACAGGACUGAUAUUUUUCUUACUGAAAGCAUAAUUCCUUCUGAUCCAAUUGUGAGUUCCAACUGUAUUAAGACUGAAGGCUGGAAGUCUGCCACAUCCAUCUAGAAUUUUAAUUAGAUAAAAGUAUGUGCUUAGACUUAAGCACAGACUUAAACUCUUGUUUGAGUGGGAUCUAUGUCAGUAUCUUGGCAGGAGCUCAACAAAUACAGCCCAAAGCAAU